UACGUAGGGGGGCUAGCGUUGUCCGGAAUCAUUGGGCGUAAAGAGCGCGUAGGCGGCCAGAUAAGUCCGGUGUGAAAGUCAAAGGCUCAACCUUUGAAUGCCGCUGGAAACUGUCUGGCUAGAGUCCGGGAGGGGCGAGUGGAAUUCCUGGUGUAGCGGUGAAAUGCGCAGAUAUCAGGAGGAACACCGGUGGCGAAGGCGGAUCUCUGGGCCUUACCUGACGCUCAGGCGCGAAAGCUAGGGGAGCGAACUGG
rnacentral:rRNA from 1 species